UCAAGAGGACUUCUCAGGACC
ensembl:piRNA 21ur-1306 ncRNA